UACGGGGGGGGCGAGCGUUGUUCGGAAUCACUGGGCGUAAAGGGCGCGUAGGCGGCCCGCACAAGUCUGCGGUGAAAACCCCCGGCUUAACCGGGGGCCGGCCGUGGAAACUGUUGGGCUGGAGGCUGGGAGAGGGCAGCGGAAUUCCCGGUGUAGCGGUGAAAUGCGUAGAGAUCGGGAGGAACACCGGCGGCGAAGGCGGCUGCCUGGACCAGUCCUGACGCUGAGGCGCGAAAGCUAGGGGAGCAAACAGG
rnacentral:rRNA from 1 species